rnacentral:rRNA from 1 species
GUCUCUUCGGGGAUGAUUAAACCGGCGCACGGGUGAGUAACACGUGAGUGACCUGCCUUUUAGACUGGAACAACUUACCGAAAGGUGAGCUAAUGCCGGAUGAGUUAUAUAAGUGCAUGUUUAUAUAGGAAAAGUUGGGGAGACCUGACGCUGAAAGAUGGACUCGCGUCCCAUUAGCUAGUUGGUAGGGUAAUGGCCUACCAAGGCGACGAUGGGUAGCCGGCCUGAGAGGGUGGCCGGCCACACUGGGACUGAGACACGGCCCAGACUCCUACGGGAGGCAGCAGUGGGGAAUUUUGCGCAAUGCUCGUAAGAGUGACGCAGCGACGCCGCGUGAAUGACGAAGGCCUUCGGGUCGUAAAGUUCUUUCGACAGGGAAGAAAAUGCCCAUAAGUAACUGUGUAUGCAUUGACGGUACCUGUAUAAGCAGCCCCGGCUAACUCCGUGCCAGCAGCCGCGGUAAUACGGAGGGGGCGAGCGUUGUUCGGAGUGACUGGGCGUAAAGAGCACGUAGGCGGUGUUGUAAGUCAUUAGUCAAAGACUAGAGCUCAACUUUAGUAAGGCUAGUGAUACUAUAAUACUAGAGUAUCAGAGAGGAUUGCAGAAUUCCUGGUGUAGCGGUGAAAUGCGUAGAUAUCAGGAGGAAUACCGUUAGCGAAGGCGGCAAUCUGGCUGGAAACUGACGCUGAGGUGCGAAAGCGUGGGUAGCAAACAGGAUUAGAUACCCUGGUAGUCCACGCUGUAAACGAUGGAUGCUAGGUGUUGGGCUUUUAAGUUCAGUGCC